rnacentral:rRNA from 1 species
CCUACGGGAGGCUGCAGUGAGGAAUAUUGGUCAAUGGGCGAGAGCCUGAACCAGCCAAGUCGCGUGAGGGAGUACUGCCCUAUGGGUUGUAAACCUCUUUUGUCGGGGAGCAAAAGCCAGACGUGUCCGGCUGUGAGAGUACCCGAAGAAAAAGCAUCGGCUAACUCCGUGCCAGCAGCCGCGGUAAUACGGAGGAUGCGAGCGUUAUCCGGAUUUAUGGGGUUUAAAGGGUGCGCAGGCGGAUUUUUAAGUCAGCGGUCAAAUCGUGGGGUUCAACCCCAUCCAGCCGUUGAAACUGGGGAUCUAGAGUGUGCGAGAGGUAUGCGGAAUGCGUGGUGUAGCGGUGAAAUGCAUAGAUAUCACGCAGAACCCCGAUGGCGAAGGCAGCAUACCGGUGCACAACUGACGCUCAGGCACGAAAGCGUGGGUAUCGAACAGGAUUAGAUACCCCAGUAGUC